AACGAACGCUGGCGGUAUGCUUAACACAUGCAAGUCGAACGAGAAAGCUCUUUCGGGAGUGAGUACAGUGGCGCACGGGUGAGUAACGCGUAGAUAACCUACCCCUUAGUUCGGGACAACUUUUCGAAAGGAGAGCUAAUACCGGAUAACACAUUGAAUCAUAUGGUUUAAUGUUGAAAGGUUUACUGCUAGGGGAUGGGUCUGCGUACCAUUAGCUUGUUGGUGGGGUAACGGCCUACCAAGGCAACGAUGGUUAGCGGGUCUGAGAGGAUGAUCCGCCACACUGGAACUGAGACACGGUCCAGACUCCUACGGGAGGCAGCAGUGGGGAAUUUUGCGCAAUGGGGGAAACCCUGACGCAGCAAUACCGCGUGAGUGAAGAAGGCCUUUGGGUCGUAAAGCUCUUUUUUAGGGAAGAUAGUGACGGUA
rnacentral:rRNA from 1 species